AACGCCCUUUGGUAAGUCGAAAUUUUGGCUCGAUAAGCAGAGGUAAAGGAUUGUGUUCGUCCGGAUUGAAAUCCGAGAUGAAACGAAUCUAUUCAUAAACACUGAAAGAUCCUUGGAGGAAAGUGAAAGCACGAGACUUGACAGAAAGUGAUGACAGAUGCUUUUGCUUUCGACCAGGGGGCAUACCACAUGUCAAAGUAUUUCCUGUCGGCACGACAAAGUAAGCGCAAAGUUCGCCUUUUGAUAGUUAAAAAUAGACAUAGAACAAAUGAAACAUAAACAGCAAGCCCCUGUCAUUCCACAGUCGACUGCCCAUGGAUAAUGAUAAGUUGUUAUGAUCUUUCUGAGAAGGAAAUGUCACUUAGAAUUCGUAGUUUGUCUUUUCUUUCCUUUUAUCUUUCUGAUUUUGCCAUUUUCAUUUUCUUCUCUGUCACCUAAAGGCUGGUUUUUACUUGGGUUUGUGAAUAAGCAUAAGCUGACAUAUUUUGUGCUCAACUUGUGAAAAACAGCCUUGAUGCCACCGACAGUAUGGUGCUGUUUUGAAUUAAAGGUCCUAAUGAUUCGACUGCCGAUUCCUUUAAAGAAUCCAAUUUGUAUGUUGAAUGGUUUAAGGUUUCUCAAAUGAAAAGGAGAGAAACUCGACCUUUUUUACCAUUUCCUCUUGGAAUGAGUGUGAAAAUGUGUAUAACUGUAGCAUUUUCCCGCGGUGCUGUGUGAGCUCAUGGGCAGGCCACGUUCCACUUAGACCAUUUUUCUUUCUCUCCUCUGAUUCUUGUUUUGAAUUUCCUUGCUGUGAUGUUUUGUAGCUUUACUUGAGGUGGGAGGUCUUAUCCUCGUGCAAUGUUGUAAAAUUCCCUUACAUAUUCUUUUAUUCGGACAACUCUUCUGGUUGUUGUCUGUCGAAAUGGAAAAUAAAUGAGAUGGUGUUGUUUUCUUUCGCCCGAAGAGAAACUCUCUGUCUGCCUGCUGUUACCUUUGCACCCCGGAUGGCUUGAAAGAGUAUUUUUUUGCAGAUGAUUGAUUCUCUACGUCAAUGUGUUGUACUGUCACAUGAUGCCCACGAAACAAAAAUACGUUAUCCUUUUUUUCUAGGAGAAUAAACAGGAACAUUCUCAUUUCCUAGCGCCGUGCAACGCAGUUACGUAAUAUGAAAAAAAUUUCCUGCAACAAGCAGAUAUUUUUCGUGGAAAUGAAAUAGCCAUUCUGUGUUUUUUUUUCUUUUUGUUUUUCAAUAAUAACCCUCCAACUCAUAAAGACUGCAACCUUAGGGUGAGUGAUGGCUUUAUGAUAGAUAUUAUCUUCAAAGGUGCGUGCGAUCGAUAGUAUUUCUUAAGCGGAAAUUUUCAACGGUCUUCAAGGCUUCAGAAGUAGCUUAAAGUCAGUUUUGCGCAUAUGAUUCAAAAUCGAGACAAAAUAGUCGGCCCCUUGAAUUCACUCCCGACAAAUUCAGUGUUAUGUCUAGCUGAAGCCGGACUGCAGCGAAUAAUUUAGGAGCUUUAAUCAAAGAUAGUGAGCGCCUGUGUUGCCUCAUUUACAUACCAGAUGUGACAUCUGGCAACACCUACUUUCAACUGAAACCUCUGUGUAGUGGCAAGCCGAAAAUUUAAAGAUGGUUCCUUUUUAAGUAUUCUGAUAUAUAUAUAUAUCUGAUAUGGCUGUUUAGGCCGCUUAAAAGUUGCCUUUUUAUAAACGGACAUGAUUUUGAGGCGACUAAUAACGUCUUUUUUGUUUGUUUAUUUUUUCAAUGGAAAUUCAUGCAACAGCGAAUUAUUUGUCAUGUAAACUCGAUUCUUCAGCUGUCUUGUCAGAAACUAUUUCCUAUCGCCGUCUUCAAACCAUUCUGUGUUGCGUUGCGUUUCUACCACGGUCUAUAUGUACUAAAGGGCUUUCACUGUGGCCGACUAAUCGACUGGGGUCCCGGCAGACGAAAGAGCUUCAUGGACGUUAGUCCUAUAGAGACUGUUGAAGUAAAUAAAUUUUGAUAAUUUAAGUCAUUAAACGCUUCCAGCAACUAGCUUCUAACGUGUAGUUCGUUGAAAUUCAACCAAGGAGUAACUUAUACAUGAUGCGUAUGUUUGCAUUUGAUAGGAACGUUUUUGUCCUAUAGUUGAUUGAUACUGCUGUGCUAAUAGAAAUGGUAAUAAAAGGAAUGAGUCGAGUUUCCAAGGUAAUAUGGAGUCAUCAUUAUAAGAAUGUGAUUCUAGCAUCUUCCAACCGGAGUCUUUCUUUUUUGUCACAGCCGACUCCCGUGAGACAAACUUGAAAAGUAUUAAAAGAUGCCUUUUGUGAAAAGUUUUCACCCGAGACGAUAUUCAGGGCGCAAAGAAAAGAAGCGAAAAGUGAGAAAGCAGCUGAGCGGACAGAGUUGUAGCAAACACUAGGUUGCCAAUUGUCAAGUGUGAAAGGGUUGAAUUGGUAAGAACGAUGCUGUUCUUCAAUCAAACGGAGACAACCUGAGCCGCGUGGCAAGCAAGAUUCUCGGGGCUGAGCCCUCGAUGAACAAGGAUUAGGCGAUUAACGCAGACCAAGCAAUUAACUAUGCUAUAAAGUUCAGGUUGUGCAUCGGUGAACGAACGUCUUAAGACGUCAAACGUCACGUGUCAAGCAAGAUUCGCCGGCUGAACCCUCGAUGAGCAAGGAUUAGGCGAUUAACACAGACCAAAAAAUUAACUAUGCUAUCAAUUUGAGGUUGUGCAUCGGUGAGCGAACGUCUUAAGACGUCAAAAGUCACGUGUCAAGCAAGAUUCGCGCCGUUGAACCCUCAAUGAGCAAGGAUUAGGUAAUUAACACAGACCAAGCAAUUAACUAUGCUAUCGAUUUUAGUUUGAGCAUCGGUGCUUAACGGUGAUCCUCAGGACAACGCGGGAAAAAAUACGUUCACGUUGAAUACGCUCGUUUCGGCUCUUUAUUCCCAUCAAAUGAUUUCCUCGUCUCGUUUUCUGUUUUCUCUGAAUUUAGUUCUUUGUGAUUAGACUUUGCUGGGUUUCCUGCAAGCGCUUUGCCAAACUUCUUCUUUACCUGUGUUCACCUUUCUUGAACUUUUGGCUGGACCAAGAAGGGACGGUCGUCGCAACCACAAGGCAGCUGCAUCAGCUUUCCUACUUUCGAAACGUUGGUCACUAAUUUGCACUAACUAUGAGUAAAGUGUUUUACAGUUGAUAAAGUAAUGCUAACGAAUUAAUGCUCCCCUUACCAACAUAUUUCGACUGUGUGUUUAGAUAAUUAUUCAAGAUUACCUUACAUCGACAUUAUAGUUACUAUUGAAGCAAUUCACUCCCUUGAUGUGACCAGCCGGGCGAUUUCUUUCUUCUAGUUUGUAGAUAUGCUAGUAGUUACUUUGUAUGUAAUAAGAAGCUGACUUACUUUUAUGUCCCUUUCCACCUUAUGUAGCAGAACACACUGGCUAAAAAGGUAGGCAGCGUUGCCGAAAGACUAGCACCAAACGACUGCUUAUAACAAAAGUGGGAUGCCGCGAGAUCACGCGUCAGUGGGAUAUAUCGCGUCUGUCAUUGGGAUAUGUCAUUCAUACUAGUUAAAACAAUGUCCCGGAUGUGGCUGGAUCUCCGUAAAUGCUGUUAGUUAUUUAUCCACAAGAUGGCUGAUGUUCCCCUGCGAAAGGGCAACAGAGAGAGAGAGAGAAGAUGGAAUCUUCUCGUGUGUCCUACUGCAUGUGAGAUAAAUGAAAUAGAAGUUUAUUUUUAUUUUAAUGUGUUAUCUUAUUGUGGGUGUCUCAUUUUGUUUAUUAAAUGGAAAAUAAAAUCUUUUUUCUGGCA